AGUGAACGCUGGCGGUAGGCCUAACACAUGCAAGUCGAACGGCAGCACAGUAAGAGCUUGCUCUUACGGGUGGCGAGUGGCGGACGGGUGAGGAAUACAUCGGAAUCUACUUUUUCGUGGGGGAUAACGUAGGGAAACUUACGCUAAUACCGCAUACGACCUACGGGUGAAAGCAGGGGAUCUUCGGACCUUGCGCGAUUGAAUGAGCCGAUGUCGGAUUAGCUAGUUGGCGGGGUAAAGGCCCACCAAGGCGACGAUCCGUAGCUGGUCUGAGAGGAUGACCAGCCACACUGGAACUGAGACACGGUCCAGACUCCUACGGGAGGCAGCAGUGGGGAAUAUUGGACAAUGGGCGCAAGCCUGAUCCAGCCAUACCGCGUGGGUGAAGAAGGCCUUCGGGUUGUAAAGCCCUUUUGUUGGGAAAGAAAAGCAGCAGGUUAAUACCCCGCUGUUCGGACGGUACCCAAAGAAUAAGCACCGGCUAACUUCGU
rnacentral:rRNA from 1 species